CGUGGCACAUGACGUUAUGUCCUUCCCGAUCCUCCGCCCAGGAAACUUGCUUUCUGGUUACCGGGACAGGCACCGAGUAAAUGCAUGGAUGGUGAGCUCGCUAGGGUUGUCUCGUACCUCCGCCGCCUGGAUUUUUUUUAGAGUUCCGCCGCCUGGAUUAGUCACUUGCAGAAGCGGCGGAGCUCAUCUGCGAUUCUCGUGCGCGAUGAGGGCUGAUCGAAACGGCCAAAAAUUGAGUUCCUUAUGCUGCCGAUUAAGAGGACCACCACGCUUGAAGAGGUGAACGGCAUCGAUAUUCUGAUGCAGCCGCAAUACUAUCCAGUGUCGCACCUAUGGUGGAGAUGAGUGCGGAUGUCCAGAUCUGUUCGGUUGAAGGGGCGGCGGAUGGAGGCCGAGAAGGGUCAGAGCACUAUUGGACAGAUCAACCCUAUAGCUCUUGGGUGGAAAAGAAGAGAUGGGGGCUAAAGCACUUAGGUGGCCUUUCAAGUGCACUCUGGUUUGAAACAAUCAGAGCAUGCAAAUUGUGUAAGGGAGUGGGUGCCUAUGUUGGUACUGACUGAACUGCUAGAGUGAGGAUAGGUGCUGCUGCGCCGGGAAGGACACCAUGUCCUAACCGGACUACUGCUAUGGAGAAGGCUAUCCGUGGUUUGCCGAUAAUCCUGGGACAAUGUCAUAGUGCCAACUUUGGGUGCAAGCUUUGAUUCUCUUUUUUGAAGCCUACGACUUCUAGAACUUGUAUUCGUGGGAGAAACGAUUUGGCAUUAGAUACGACAAUUAGUAUGCUAAAUGUGGAGAGGACAAAAUGCAUGCAGGAGAUUGUUUGUGGUUGUGUGGUAUGGAUAAUGGAUUUAUAUCUUGUUAGUAUUUGACAAUAUUUCCUGCAGCAAUUAUCUCCGAAAAAAUGCUCUCUCUUUGUUGUUGUUUGUUUAGGCAGGGGAAGGCGGGGGUUGAGAACACUCGGUCGUGCCGUUGCGAAUGCCCUGCUCUCAUCAGGUUGUUGCAAUCCAAGGUCAAUGGUUGGUACAUAGCAGAACACUGUGAGGAGCACAACCACUCCUUGUCUCCUAUGUUUGGACAAACAAUACACUGGCCAUCGCCACAAGCACAUUGAUUUAUACAUUUCAGACCUGGUAAAAUAGCAUCAUGGUAAGUUUCUUUGGAUCCAUGGAGAAUGUGUCGUUCACAAAAAGAGCCCUAAGGAACUUGUGUGGGAAAAUUAACCGUGAUUAGGCCGAGGAUGAUGUGAGGAAGACUAUGGUAGUGUUUGGAGAGGUUGGUUCAAAGGAUCAACACUUCACAUAUCGUGUGGAAGAUGAUAAAGAGGGGAGGAUCGGCAGUCUGAUGUGGGCAAAUGAAAUAGCCGAUUGCAGUACACAUUCUUUGGUGAUGUCAUGACCUUCGAUACGACCUACAGGACAAACAUGUAUGAUAUUCCCUUUUGCCUGUUUGUCGGCAUUGACAACCAUUUUCAGAGCAUCUUAGCAGGGGUUUUGGUCCGUGAUGAGAAGGUUGAAAGCUUUGAUUAGGUUUUCAGUGAAUUCCUGAGGAUGAUGGGAGGGACACCACCAAAGACAGUGGCAAGAGUACAUGGUGUUUACAUUGUACAAUAAAUUUUUACUUACUCUAACAUGGUUUGUGCACUGUAUUUAAAUGUGCAGACCAGAAUUGAGCAAUGGAGGUUGCUACAAAGAAUAUCAUGCGAGGAGAACUACCCACAGGUGGUGCAAAUGGUACGUGCUAAAGAAGGUGAAGCAGUAGCUGGGGUCUUUGCACACUAAGAGUGAAUUCUGGACCAAGUUUUACAAAGUUAUCAAUCACAUGCUAACGAUUGAUGAGUUUGAUGAAGCUUGGAAUUUCCUACCGGAGAAAUAUCAUCUGAAGACACACCCUUACAUGAUGCAGUUGUAUGAGAUUAGACACAAGUGGGCUAAGCCAUACUUUAAGAGGGUUUUCUGCGCUAAGAUGACAAGCAAACAACGGAUCGAAAGCGCGAACCAUAUGCUGAAAAAUUAUGUACACCCAGGUUGUCAGAUGCAUAUGUUUGUAGGUAAGUACAUGUGAUUACAGUUUGACUGUGAGUUGGAGAACAUGGCCAGAAUUGUAAGGACUUGGCAUUUCUAUAAUUUCAAAAUUGAUGUGCUACCUAUGCAGUGGCAGAGCUUGCAGCAAAUUACUGGGCGGGAUGGGCAGGCCAAACUGAGAUUGCCUCGGCCCAUGGGUUGGCUGUAAUAGGAGCAGGUGUUGCAAAGCUGGGCGGGCCAUGGCCGAUGUUGCCUCGCUGAAGCUCUGACAGUGUACCUAUGCUUAAAGUGGUACAUAACUUGUGUGGUUCUGUUUUACAGGGGAGACCUCUAAUGAGAACUAACUUGGCCAUAGAGAGGCAUGCUGGGAAGAUAUAUACAAGAGCAAUGUUUGAGCAAUUUGGACAUAUACUACAUGAGUGUGAUUGCUUACCAGGUUGAGGAGAUCAAGAAAGGGAAGUUGUACGUUGCCAUGCACACUGAAGCAGAAUGGAGAGAGAAAUGGUGUGGGGUCUCAUAUAAAGUGUGCUCGGUGGAGGAGAGGGGUGUAAGUGUGGUCAACUCACUCACAUGGGAGUACUCUGCAGUCAUGUGCUGAAGGUACUGGACUUCAUCCGCAUUCACAUAGUGAAGAGAGAAACUAGGGACGCGAGGGACAUCCUCCCACCUCAUCUUACGCACUACCAGAAAGAUCAUGCUCACAAAAUUUUGCCACUGGCAAAGAGGAAGGAGAUGGGUAGGCCUGCGACCAGCAGAAGGAACUGCCUUACGAAGGGUUGAGGAAGAGGACCAGGUUUUGCACUAUUUGCCGGCGACAGGGAGACAAAAAGGACUACGUGCCCAGACCGCGGAGAUGUACCAUAGCAAGACCCGGUCGAUGCAAGAACUGUGGAGUCGAAGGUCACCAGCGAAACAAUUGCAACAAAGCAGCGGAGCUAUGUCUGAAAGAGAGUUGACUGAAAUAGUAGGGAUGUACCUGGGACAGUACCUGCAUGGUUAGGAUAAAUGGUGUAUGUGUAUGACAAUUUGCAGAUAAUGCAGACUGUGUGUUGUAGCUUGUAUCCUCAUGCUGAAGCUGCAAAUGUCCUUUGCAUGUGUUGAUACAAGUGUGUCUAAUGAAUUUCUUGAUACUACUUCGUGAGUGGAACUAGUCUGAAUAAAUAGAAUGUGGUCUGAAUAAA